rnacentral:tRNA from 1 species
GUGGGUGUAGGCUAGAGGUCAGUCACUGCAUUUGGGAUGCAGGCAACGCAGGUUCGAAUCCUGCCACCCGCC